rnacentral:rRNA from 1 species
CCUACGGGAGGCAGCAGUGGGGAAUAUUGCACAAUGGGGGAAACCCUGAUGCAGCGACGCCGCGUGAGCGAGGAAGUAUUUCGGUAUGUAAAGCUCUGUCAGCAGGGAAGAAGAAUGACGGUACCUGAAGAAGAAGCACCGGCUAAAUACGUGCCAGCAGCCGCGGUAAUACGUAUGGUGCAAGCGUUAUCCGGAUUUACUGGGUGUAAAGGGAGCGCAGGCGGUUCUGCAAGUCUGAUGUGAAAGCCCGGGGCUCAAGCGCGGGACUGCAUUGGAAACUGCGGGAAUGGAGGGGCGGAGGGGUGAAGCGAAAUUCCGGUGGUGGCGGGGAAAGGG